ensembl:misc_RNA Y_RNA Y RNA
GGCUGGUCUGAAGGUAGUGAGUUAUUUCACUUAAUUGUUGACAGUCAGUUACAGAUUAAACUCCUUGUUCUACUACUUUUCCCCCUUCUCACUACUGCACUUGACUCGUCUUAA